CUCUCAGGUUUACACCCUGGACAUUCCCACCAUAAAUCUCAGUUAAAUUAGGGAAGGCACAAAUCUUAACAAAUAUAUCACGUGGUUGCAUGGAAGACAGAGAGGAAGAGAGAGAAACAAACAAACAAAACCUCAAUAACCCCAACAUUUCU